rfam:Mosquito flavivirus isolate LSFlaviV-A20-09, complete genome
UUCAGCGCAAGGAAGGAAAGCUGGACGCUACCUUAGGUGGUGACGACACCUCGCCCCCA